rnacentral:pre_miRNA from 1 species
UGGGGGGGGGAGGGGUUCCUCAGCCCAGAUUGUAGGGUGCAGGAGUCUGGGACCCCUCGGGGGAUGACCACCUGCUGGCUGCAGGCCAGGCCGAGGGACCCCACCAGUGCACA